ACCGCCUCAGUGAAACAAGCUGGCAGCACUAUGGGAUGCCAAGUCUGCUCCUGCGAUCGCCCACCUCCUAACACCACGCCAAGGGUUGCCCACCACUCUAGAAAGAUAGGUUCAAACUCUCCCUGAGGAAGACCCCAAUCUGACCCUGGACUAAAGAGAGAAAGAAGGGCCUGAGGGACAACCUUUCUUAUCAUGAACUGAAACCCACAAUCCAGUUCUUCUUUUUUUUUUUUUAAACUAAAUUGCUAAUUUAAUAGGAUUUACAGAAUGUGGGCUUUUCUGAUUCUCUUGCUUUCCAUAUUCUUAGUCAACAGUCUUCUAUACAGUAGAACAGCCAUCAUUUGGACCUAUUUGGCUUCCUUAAGAUACAUUUUUAGGAAGAUUUUGGGAAGUUUGGAUGUUUAAUUUGCUCCUCAAACACAAUUUUCAAACUAGGAAGUGAGUGUUCUAUGACUUCAAAUGAGAACUCGCUCAACAGAUUUUUUUAAAAACGCUUUUGAGUCAUUCAAAAGCUGUUUCUACCUCCUUCUUUGCAGGUCUCAGAAUUCCUGGGAGGCCUUUUGUUUUCCUAAUGAGAAAUGGUGGAGCAGUGGAUGUGCUGACACUGUCUCUCCUCUUGCUGUGCCUUCCAUGCAGAUGCCUGAAGCCUUGGAGGAGCUGAAUGGUAGAGUUUCCUGUGUCUUCCAGUGGAGAAGAAAACACCAUCCAGAAUCCUUGCUCAAUCACAGAUGAGUGCUUGACACAAGUGUCAUGUUGUCUGUCAUCUGACCCAUGGGGGCUUCCUCCUCCCUUCACCUUCUUUCCCUGAUGUCGGAAGUCCUGGGGUGCUAAACCCUGCCUGUGCGUCUUCUGCCAAGCUGUUGACUGUUGGCAUCUUUAUUCACCACCAGCCCAGAUCUUUAUUUUUCUUUGCACGUGCUUUCAAUUCCCAUGAUCCUUCUGUAUCCUGCUUACUGAGGCCUUUAGUGCCCCAUUUUCCCCAAUAUGUCCCACAAUCCAGUUCUUUAAAGUCCUUUGGAAAUUUCCUGGCAAAACCAGGUAGUAUAAAGCCAGGCACAGGUAAUAUCACCUAUAAGUGAACAGUAUUUAUCAGCAUCUUAAAGCCUGAAUUUCAGUAGCCCAUUACUGCUGGGACAGGAUGUAGGAAUAAGGCAACCAAAUACUUUUCCUCCAGGCUAGCAGUUUCCCACCUGUAAGCACGAGCCUUCAGGAGAGAGAUGGCUCACAUUGCUCUCCUGUGAGUCUGGGUCUUGGACCAGGCAGGCUAUGGUGGGGCGGUGGGGGGCUUGGAGUUGCCACCUAGGGGCCAUUUGAAUGACAAGACUGGCUCUUAUGGAGUGACCACCAAAAGAACUACUUAUUGGGGGGAAGCUAGAGAUCCACCGGUGUGUUAGGCCCUUGCCUCUAACCCUCACACCACCUGCAUCCUGAGGACCGAGGGAGCCUGUGACCUCUGCCCUCUGUUCUUGCCCAGGUUCUUGGAGUGGGGACAAGUUUAACGAUGACUUUAGCACCCCUCCAGCUAGGCAGGUUAGGAGAUUCCAAUCUCUCUCACAGCCAAGGAAACCAAGUGGGGAGGGAUCUUUCUCUGCAGCUACAUAAUCCUGGAUUACAGUGAUAACCCCUUCAUCUCAGGUAAACGGAUCAAGGAAAAGGACUGGAGACAGACCUGACAAGCUCUGGGCUGCAGGCAGGGAAGGGAAAGUAGGCAGCAUGCAAAAGGGGUCGCUUUGACAGUCAAGGACAGACAUUACUACUGCUGCCCUGAGAAGUGUGGAGGAAGAGUGGGUCUGAACUGGCUGUAGAUCGAGGGUUUGUGAAGGCACACCCUUCUUCAGUCCAUAGGCCACCCACAGAAUGAAACCUAAAGAAGGGGUUUGCAGUGUGCUCCAGGAAUCCUCACCCCUGGACUAUCCCUGCCCACAAGUGUCAUCUGGUGAGUGCCCUCAGGGGUAAGUCUCAGUUUCUUCAAAGGCUAACAAGGGCUCAGCUGUUAGAAAUAGUCCCUCCAAAGACAGUAAAUUCCACAAAUGUUAGCCCGCAUUACUGUUGUGUCUAUUAUUAGUCCUAGUGUUACUCCCACCCCUUCGCUCUGGGUCGGGGAUCCCUGCACAUGAACUAAGGUCAUCUGCCAGUGAGGCUACACUGCGGCUGGCAAGGAGAAGCCAUGGAUAGAAGUGAAGUCGGGGGGAGCUUGAGAGGGCUUACUGGGUUUGCUCCAGACCUGCAAAAGCCUUUGAUGGGCUCUGUGGAAAAGGUGACUCCCACAGCACAGGGGGCAGGAAGAUGCUGGCAGGGAGCAGAGGAAAGCCAAUGCCCUUCUCUACACAGAGGAGGAAGAAAGGGCUCCUAAGAAAAGGCCAUUGGCAGGUCAGAACUUAACACCAGUAAUGUAUCCUUCCAGAGAGGGCAGACCAGCUUUGUGCCACGUUCCCAAAGAAUGAAGAUACAUUCCUCACUGAGGCCCAGGACACGACCAGUUGUAUUCCUGUACUACCCCCAAGGAGUUCCACACCCAAGCCCAGUAGCUUCACAAUAACCCUAUGGACUAGAAGGUAACUAUGACGUCUCCAUUUCUCCUGUUAAAAGAGGUAGAAGCCUGCGCAGGGGAAGAGGCCUCCAGGACACUGAGCAGAUGGGGAACUGAAGCAUAGAGAAAUUACAUCACAUAGAUGCCACAGGGGGAGCCAAGUUUGUAACCAGAACCUUGCCAUUCCAAGCCAGGACUCUUCAAGGACAGUGAGCCUUUAACUGCACGCCCUGGUUCUCAGAUAUUUGUUGACUUCCUCUGCUGUCUCAGGGACUCGAAGCACCACAAACUGUGAGCCUGAGGAAUUUCCACCAGCACUGAAGCGGGAGGGCACAGGCUAUACACUUCUGUUGGAGCUUCAGGUCAGUCUAGCACUUAGCAUGUAGAUUGUUUGCAGGAAGAGCUGAAUGGGGGGAAGGCGUUGUGUGGGAAGGGGUAUCACUGGCAAGCUGGAGCUCAGAAUGAGCAGAGGGUAGCAGGAGGACAAUGCAUCUGAGAAAGAGUAGUGUGUGGAUGUGUAAAUGUGCCUGGUGAAACAAACAUAGCCCCUCACCACUCUCUAAGAAGUCUUUGGACAGAGCAUAGUGCCGUUCCCUUCAGCACCUCCCCUCCCCCGCAACCCAAGAUUCUCCACUGUGCUCGGAACCCCUUGCUUCAAUCCACUCAGUCAACGAUCCUGCCACUGACACCUUCCUUCAUGCACUGAAGCCUCGAUCUUUCUUAUGAGCCUGUUGGGAGAUAAAAGCUCUUGGGAGGUAAUUAGGUCACAAGGCUGGGUCCCCAUGAUGGUGUGAUAAAUGAGAGUAGAUGUAAACCAGGAGCAGAGUCCUCACCAGACCCCGGUCACACUGCCUCCCCAAUGUGCAGCCGUCAGGACUGUGAGAAAGAAGUGACUGUUCUUCAGCCAUACAGUCCAUUCUACCUCUUUUUUGUUUGUUUGUUUGUUUGUUUGUUUGAGGCAGAGUCUGCUAUAGCCCAGGUCGGCCUUUAACUCUCAUGAGUUAUAGACAUCCUGCUGCUACCGCACUGGUGGUGCAGGGGCGCUCCAUAGCAUCCUGCAUCUGCCACACUCAUCGGAAGCAUCCUGCCCUUGUCCUAACAUCCUGCUCAGUCUGAUGACCACACAGGUUUUCCCAUUAGAAAACCCACAGUGGUAGCAUUUGUCUGAUCCUUGCUGUGUCCCUGGCUACACAAAAGGUGUGGAUGGCUAAGAAAGGAAGGAAGGAUGGAUGGAUGGAAGGAAGGAAGGAAGGAAGGAAGGAAGGAAGGAAGGAAGGAAGGAAGGGCUGGCUGCUUGCCAGGUAAGCUUGGGUUGCUUUCAAGGGCUUUGAGUGUCCGUUGAGAAUAGCCAGUCCUGCCCUCAACUCUGAGAAUGGUCAGGGUAGGCAUUCAGGUUCUGACUGAUAUGCACAGGACCCUACCUACACUUGCCUGGGACUUCUCACACUGUCCCUCUCCCUCACAAGGCCAUUGAACAUAGACAGCAGAGCUGAACUCACAUCCCAGUUCUGAGAUAGGCUGGAAAUUCAGAGAUGAAACAGAUAUCAGCCAUGAGUGUGUGGGGAUCCUGUGAGACCAGCUGAAGCAAAAGAGAAAGGCCCAGGAUGGGUUAGUUCUGCCUGUGGAUGACGCAAGCUACCAUGAGAAGGUAUUGCUAUGUUUCCCAGCUGACCUCAAACUCACAGUCCUCCUGCUUCAGCAUCUGGAGUACUUGGAAUUACAACCAUGCUUCACCACAUCUCACUUUUGUCUGGGGUGUUACAUCGUCAUCAAAAACCACAACUGAUGCACAGAAGAAAAAGAUAUCCCAGAAGAAAUGGAAGAAACAAAUACUCCUGAAUGGGAAUAAAUUCAGCAUAAAAUAAAUGCAGAUAAAGUAAAAAAAAACCAAACAAACAAAUGAACAAAAACAAAAACAAAAAACACCAAAAAAUGCAACCGAUACUAUUUUAGUUUCUAAAAUCUCAAGAAUUGUUUUUAUGAACCAUGGGUGCCAAGUUUGAGUCCACUAGGACUGUCCAAAGCCUCAGGCUCAUGACCAAGGACUUAGGGUGAUGAACACUCAGGACCCCUAAAGGUCGACCUGGACGGUGGUUCUGAGUUCACUGUCUCACAUCACUUUAAAGAUGCAGACACUCAUGGGGGAUGAAGUAGAAGUAAGCUUUGUCAAGAAGAAUUAUAGAAAAGUUAAAAGCCGAGGAAAGGGAGAUAAACGUAGAGGGGGAUUAACAAGAGAGGAAAGCCUUAAACUUCUUUGCCUUGUGUUUCUAUAGGGCUAGUGCAGAACCUGGACAAGGCUGAGGCCAUUGCUAUGCGAUUGGUUCGUGGGCUCUUGUGAGCUGAGUCUAUGGCGGAUCCUCGCUCUAUGUCUGUUUGCCAUGGCUCUGACAGGUGGAUGCUGUUUGUGCUCCGCUUGUCCGCCUAAGGCUGUCUGACUUGUGCUGUGCUAGCUGCUGACCGUGACUGUAUGCUAGUGCGAGCCCUGGGCUGACCUUGCAGGUGUCUGCCUGUUAAGUACAUUCUGCUUUCCUUGUUCUCCCGUGCUCACGAUGAGCUUGGAGCUGCACCACGACCUACCGAGAGUUUCUUCUACCACAGUCGCCAACAUGUCUCUGCGAUCUUUUUCCGUUACCCCAGCUUUAGCGCCUGGUCUCUGGAGGCCUCCGACGGAGUGUUUUACAACUUGGUCUGUUACAACUGAUCGCAUUAGAAGCAAGAAUAUAUGAAAGCAGGCUCGGUGACUAAGAAUGCUUGUUGCUCUUGCAGAGGACCCAGCACCCACAUGGCAGCUCACAAUCAUCUGUAAUCCAGUUCCGGAGGACCCAGCAUCCUGUGUGGGUGCCUGGCACACACAUGGUACGCAUGCAGCAUAGGCAAAACACGUAAAAUGCAAAUACAUUUUAAAACGAGAGAAUAUAUGAAAGGAUAACAGUGCCGUGAGGGCUCCAGGGUGGAGGGAAGUUGGCUCACCUUCGCUGCCCAGAGCUCUUUUCUUCCCCUCACAUGCAUAGCUUUGUUGUCUCAUACCCGGUGUCGAGCCCUCUUACCCACCUUCCUUUGCGCUCACCUUGCUGUUUUAAGCCCGGCCUCUGCUUGCACUGCAACCUAUGUGAGCAGUCUGCAGUUUUCACUACAGGCCCUUUCUCUUGCUAUGUACGGAGAGCUGGAUCCUGCGUUGCUCUCUCCUGAUCUAGUGUAGAGGAUGUUCCACGAGCCAAUGCUAUGUUCCGCGCACUGACAUAUAGCCCGCGGCUGUUGGACCGGAUGUCCUGCAGGUGUCUGUAAGGUCCAUUUGGCCUGGGGACCAAUUGUACCCUGGAGUUUGUUGCCUUUGUGCUUGUCUGACUGGCCCAUUGAUGAAAGUGGGUUGCUCACCUGCUUUGUAUGGGAGUCUCUCUCUUCCCUUACGUCUACUGAUACACGCCUCAUAUCUGAUUGCUUUCUUCAUCCCCUAGAGUGGUGAAGUAAUUUACUCUAGUAGUGUGUUCUGAUUUAUUGUGAUAUUUGGGUUGUCUCCUAUGGCUUUUUGCUUUCUGGUUACUAUGAGGCUGACAAGGACCUAUGUGGGUAGCAAUACAAUUUUUUAAAAUAAAAGUUUAACAUUACCAUAAA
rnacentral:sRNA from 1 species